rnacentral:rRNA from 1 species
UACGGAGGGUGCGAGCGUUGUCCGGAAUCAUUGGGCGUAAAGGGCGCGUAGGUGGCGGGACAAGCGUGCGGUGAAAGCCUGGGGCUCAACCCCGGGUCGGCCGUGCGGACUGGUUUGCUAGAGCACUGUAGAGGCGAGUGGAUUCCGGGUGUAGCGGUGGAAUGCGUAGAGAUCCGGAAGAACACCGGUGGCGAAGGCGGCCUGCUGGGCAGUAGCUGACACUGAGGCGCGACAGCGUGGGGAGCAAACAGG